rnacentral:rRNA from 1 species
UACAGAGGGUGCAAGCGUUAAUCGGAAUUACUGGGAGUAAAGCGUGCGUAGACGGUUAUGUAAGUCAGGUGUGAAAGCCCCGGGCUCAACCUGGGAAUUGCAUUUGAGACUGCAUAGCUAGGGUGCGGAAGAGGGAAGCGGAAUUUCCGGUGUAGCGGUGAAAUGCGUAGAUAUCGGAAGGAACACCAGUGGCGAAAGCGGCUUCCUGGUCCAGCACCGACGUUCAGGCACGAAAGCGUGGGGAGCAAACAGG